rnacentral:snRNA from 1 species
GUACUUGCUUCAGCAGCACAUAUACUACAAUUAGAAAGAUACAGAGAAGAUUAGCAUGGCCCCUGUGCAAGGAUGACAUGCAAAUUCGUGAAGUGUUCCAUAUUUCU